rnacentral:rRNA from 1 species
AGUGGCGGACGGGUGAGUAACGCGUGAGAAUCUGCCUUGGGGUCGGGGACAACCACUGGAAACGGUGGCUAAUACCGGAUAAGCCGAUUGGUGAAAGAAUUAUUGCCCGAAGAGGAGCUCGCGUCUGAUUAGCUAGUUGGUGAGGUAAGAGCUCACCAAGGCAGCGAUCAGUAGCUGGUCUGAGAGGACGAUCAGCCACACUGGGACUGAGACACGGCCCAGACUCCUACGGGAGGCAGCAGUGGGGAAUUUUCCGCAAUGGGCGAAAGCCUGACGGAGCAAGACCGCGUGAGGGAGGAAGGCUCUUGGGUUGUAAACCUCUUUUCUCAGGGAAGAAGCUCUGACGGUACCUGAGGAAUCAGCCUCGGCUAACUCCGUGCCAGCAGCCGCGGUAAUACGGAGGAGGCAAGCGUUAUCCGGAAUUAUUGGGCGUAAAGCGUCCGCAGGUGGCGAUUCAAGUCUGCUGUCAAAGCACGGGGCUUAACUCCGUAAAGGCAGUGGAAACUGAAUAGCUAGAGUGCCGUAGGGGUAGAGGGAAUUCCCGGUGUAGCGGUGAAAUGCGUAGAGAUCGGGAAGAACAUCGGUGGCGAAAGCGCUCUACUGGACGGCAACUGACACUCAGGGACGAAAGCUAGGGGAGCGAAUGGGAUUAGAUACCCC